AGUUGUAUAGUUUAAUAUAAAACAUUAAUUUUGUAAAUUAAUAAUUAAAUAACUUUUAUGCAAUUA
rnacentral:tRNA from 1 species